CGGGUGAGUAAUGAAUCGGAACGUGCCCGGUAGUGGGGGAUAACCAGUCGAAAGACUGGCUAAUACCGCAUACGACCUACGGGUGAAAGCGGGGGACCGUAAGGCCUCGCGCUAUCGGAGCGGCCGAUUUCCGAUUAGCUAGUUGGUGAGGUAAAGGCUCACCAAGGC
rnacentral:rRNA from 1 species